rnacentral:miRNA from 1 species
AUUCCAGACAGCCAGUUAUAUUUUCAAUUUCAGAUUAAAAAAAUUAUUUUUGUGAACAAGUAUGUCUCAGGAUAUAUUGGGGACAUACUUAUACUAAAAAAUUUAUUUGUUGUUUUUCUGAAAUCCAAACCUAACUGGGUAUCCUGAAGUUU